rnacentral:rRNA from 1 species
CUUUUUAAGUUCUAGUGGCGGACGGGUGAGUAACGCGUGAGAAUUUACCUCUAGGAGGGGAGCAACAGUUAGAAAUGACUGCUAAUGCCCCAUAUGCUUUAUAGUGAAACGGAUUCGUCCGCCUGGAGCAAAGCUCGCGUCUGAUUAGCUAGUUGGUAAGGUAAUAGCUUACCAAGGCGACGAUCAGUAGCUGGUUUGAGAGGAUGAUCAGCCACACUGGAACUGAGACACGGUCCAGACUCCUACGGGAGGCAGCAGUGGGGAAUUUUCUGCAAUGGGCGAAAGCCUGACAGAGCAAUACCGCGUGAGGGAUGAAGGCCUGUGGGUCGUAAACCUCUUUUUUCAAGGAGGAAGUUCUGACGUGUACUUGAA